CCCUUGAUGCGAAACACCGUAUAAUAAACUAAGUAGCCAUGAAAAUAUCCUGUCUCUGAGCCAAGUACAAUCGCAACAAUAUGCCAGUGGCAGUGCGGCUGAUUGAGUUUAUGACAAUUGCGACGCUCUUUAUUUUGGUUUCAACUGGAGCAUUUUUGCUGUACUUCGCCGACAAAAUUAUCAACUUCUUGGCAUUACUUUUAACGCCCAUCACUGAGCUGUGUUUGCUUAUAAUGGCUAUGUUGGAGUAUUUCUUCUACUGGGGCACCGGGCAUCUGAUGAAUAUUUUGUCUAGUAUAGGGACAUGUGCUGUUACUGUGCCAAAUAAUGAAUAAAAUUUUUUGUAUUUGAAAAACAAUAAA